AGAGUUUGAUCCUGGCUCAGAUUGAACGCUGGCGGCGUGCCUAACACAUGCAAGUCGAACGCGAAAGUCUCUUCGGAGACGAGUAGAGUGGCGCACGGGUGAGUAACGCGUGGAUUAUCUACCUACUGGUACGGGACAACAGUUGGAAACGACUGCUAAUACCGUAUACGCUGGUAACGGGAAAGGGGGCCUCUUCUUGAAAGCUCUCGCCAGUAGAUGAGUCCGCGUUUCAUUAGCUAGACGGUGGGGUAACGGCCUACCGUGGCAACGAUGAAUAGCAGGCCUGAGAGGGUGGCCUGCCACACUGGGACUGGAACACGGCCCAGACUCCUACGGGAGGCAGCAGUGGGGAAUAUUGCGCAAUGGACGAAAGUCUGACGCAGCGACGCCGCGUGGAGGAUGAAGGUUUUCGGAUCGUAAACUCCUGUCAAGAGGGAAGAAACCUAUCAAAACUAAUACUUUUGGUAAUUGACGGUACCUCUAGAGGAAGCACCGGCUAAUUCAGUGCCAGCAGCCGCGGUAAUACUGAAGGUGCAAGCGUUAAUCGGAAUCACUGGGCGUAAAGCGCUCGUAGGUGGCUUUGUAAGUCAGGUGUGAAAGCCCACGGCUCAACCGUGGAAUUGCACUUGAUACUGCAUCGCUAGAGUAUAGGAGAGGGAAGUGGAAUUUCUGGUGUAGGAGUGA
rnacentral:rRNA from 1 species